UACGUAGGGGGCAAGCGUUGUCCGGAAUCAUUGGGCGUAAAGAGCGUGUAGGCGGUCCGAUAAGUCCGCUCUGAAAGCCCGGGGCUCAACCCCGGGAGGCGGGCGGAUACUGUCGGGCUAGAGUCCGGAAGAGGCAAGUGGAAUUCCUGGUGUAGCGGUGAAAUGCGCAGAUAUCAGGAGGAACACCGAUGGCGAAGGCAGCUUGCUGGGACGGUACUGACGCUGGGACGCGAAAGCGUGGGGAGCAAACAGG
rnacentral:rRNA from 1 species